rnacentral:rRNA from 1 species
UACAGAGACUGCAAGCGUUAUUCGGAUUCACUGGGCGUAAAGGGUGCGCAGGCGGCCCAAGUGUGUCAGGUGUGAAAUCCCGAGCUUAACCUCGGAACUGCGCCUGAAACUACUUGGCUAGAGUACUGGAGAGGGUAACGGAAUUCACGGUGUAGCAGUGAAAUGCGUAGAUAUCGUGAGGAACACCAGAGGCGAAGGCGGUUACCUGGACAGUUACUGACGCUCAGGCACGAAAGCGUGGGGAGCGAACAGG